GCCGGGAUGGUGUAAUCGGUAGCCACGCAUGGUUUAGGACCAUGUGCCUUCGGGCAUGGAGGUUCGAGUCCUCUUCCCGGCA
rnacentral:tRNA from 1 species